CCCAUCCAAACAGGCAUACUCAAUUUUGGAGCCACAGAGUGACUUUGUAAGAAUAUCUGCUAAUUACUGGGGAAUGAGUUGACUGAGCUUUGGUUUCAAGUAUCUGGUGAUUAGACGUUGGAUAUAUUAAAAUGGUUUCCUAUCCAGCUACAAAGGAUUAGUAUUUAGUUGUUGUAUGCUUGAAUGAUAAUAAGUUGAAUCCAUUGUGCAAGGAGAUUAACAAAGAAUUUUGUGGUUUUAUGGAUCAAUUCAAGUGUCAUAAGUAUCAACAGUUUCUCAAAGACGAUAGCCUCCUGGGACUUCAAGAUGAUCAAAAUGUUAAACACUUUGGUAGAAGGUCCAUUGUUAAUCUGGUGGGAUAUCCAGUUUGUCAAGUUCUUAAAUCUCUGUGCUUUUAUUAUUUCCUUUUCUCCCCUUUCAUAUAUCUCUAUAGGUGUCUCAAUUAGCUUUUCUUUAUUUGACGUACUCUUUUGUUUUUUCAUGAUCUUAUCUCCAAUAAUCGCUUGGUCAUACUUCAACUUCAUCUCUGGUUUAUUUGCACAAAAAAAAGAAUAGUCCAUGCUUUUGGCAAAUGCUUAGAGAAAUCAUCAAUUCAAGCAAGAUGUCAUAACGUACUAUUUCAUCCUUUAGCUUUACUAUCGGUUAAUAAAUCACUUUGAUGUUAAUGUUUCAUUAUUACAGCACAACAAAGUAUUCUUUGGUUGAAAAGGACUAAAUCAGUGUGUUUUGCACAUGUUCUGUAUUUGUGUCAAAAAAGAGCUGUCUUUAAUUUAGUUUAUGUUUCCCACUCCAUUGCAGUUACCUUGAGGCACUUGAUAACAAUUCUGACAUUGAUCGGAAUGAAACGUUAGGACAUUUUAUUCAGUUUUCAAUAUGUGCAUCAAUUUGGUUCUGCCCCUCAAAAAGAGUAAUGAGCUUUUUUUGCUUACUCCAUUCUUUCAUUUUGUCGCAACCAUCAUUUCUAUAUGAACGAAUGAAGAAGGUCCGGUUUGGUUCUACCAUUUUAAAUCCCUAUAUUUUCUCAUGUCUAUUUAUGCAUUCAUGUGAGUGAUUUCUAUCCAACUUCUUUUACUAGAAAUGAUGAAGAUGGUCUCCAUUAGGUUGAUUAACUUUUGUCUUGUUUUCAAACUGCUGACUUGUUUAAGAACAUAUGUUUCAUAAUUUAUAUUAUUUUUAUAGUGGUGUUUAAUUAAGAGAAAAAAUACUUCUAUCAGGCUAUAUUUUAUUUUUACCACCAUGCAGUUAGGAACUACUCAUGAUUCUAACUGUAAAAGAAAGAGCAUAUGCAGGUUGUACUAUAGAUUGCGCGGAUGGUUCCAAAGACGUAUAUGAUGGAUGCGUAAUGGCUGCCCAUGUUUGUGCUAAUAGUAAAUGGAAACUAAAACCUUUGAUGAUUUUGUUUCGAGAGUCCAAAAUGGAAUCCGUUUUGCUUGGAGGAAGAAGUUGGAGAAUUGAAUGUCUGAGUAUGCCUGGAUAUCCUGCACUUUUCCAGCAGUUAUGAUUAAUAAAUACUCGUCUUUUGAUCAAUCAGAAUACAUGUUCAUGUGUGUAAUCCCAAAUGACGCCUCUUCAGAUGUUGGCAUUAUCUGUAAAAUGUGAUUUAUGAGGAAAUAAAGUGCAAUUGGUGAAAAGAGCAAAUGAAGGAACUUUUUGUAAUUUAUUCUUCACUUAAUUUCUCUCAUUAUUAACACCCUGUUUAUAUCUCUGUUUAGAUUUCUUUUUUCAGUGCAAAAUUGGAAAGUUGAAGAAAAUGAGUGGAGAUCAACAUGUGGAUAUGCAUUACAUGAGCAAUAUGGGGUUUAUUCCGUUACCAUGACAUAAAAUACAUGUACUUCAGCUGAAUAUUGUACUUUGUGCGCUGAGAAAUAGUAUUUGUCAAAGUGAAACAUACUAUAAUUGGAAGUGUUUGUUCUGCCGCCCGGAAA